GCCUGUUCGGCCAUAACCAUUCGCAAUAUACUGCACUAACUGUUUAUAGUAGAAGAGGCAAUUCAAUUCACCUCACUAGAUAAUGUCAAGAGUCAAGACCUUAACCAUGGUAAUCUAGAGUAUCAUUAGAACUAACAACCUAUUUAUCCCUGCUUGUUGUUCGCCUCACUGCCUGUUUAAAUAUGUACUUGUAAGUGCAACUAAAGGAUUUCAGUUUCAGCAUAGAAACUACUAGCUUAGUCAGGAACCCAUCACAGUAAUAACCAAACAUCACGUUGCAAUCAUAACUGCAAAAUGUUCGUGCAUAGCUAUAUGUACCUUGGGCAGCCUCCUCUUGCUCCUCCGCCACUUCCUCUUCACCAUCAUCCUCAGCAUCAGUGUCGUCUUCGUAUUCAUCAAAAACGGUGGUACCGUACCUGGUGUUGAGGUAGUCGAUGGCGGCCGGGGUGAAGAAGUGCUUGCGGGCGUCGAGGAUGUCAUAUAGGUUGAGCGUCCUGGGGGUUAGCAUCUUGAGGGUGCCGAUGUUCCUGCCGCUAAGCCGCACAUUAUCAUCAAGCUCCGUGGAGAAGAACAUGGCCUUCUCCUUGGGGUCCAGCCCCCACCGCUGCAGCGCG
rnacentral:lncRNA from 1 species